AUAGCCUACGGGGGGCAGCAGUGGGGAAUAUUGGGCAAUGGGCGCAAGCCUGACCCAGCAACGCCGCGUGAAGGAAGAAGGCUUUCGGGUUGUAAACUUCUUUUCUCAGGGACGAAGAAAGUGACGGUACCUGAGGAAUAAGCCACGGCUAACUACGUGCCAGCAGCCGCGGUAAUACGUAGGUGGCAAGCGUUAUCCGGAUUUACUGGGUGUAAAGGGCGUGUAGGCGGGACUGCAAGUCAGAUGUGAAAACCGCGGGC
rnacentral:rRNA from 1 species